rfam:Nelumbo nucifera unplaced genomic scaffold scaffold00114, whole genome shotgun sequence
CUGCACGGUGCACCGCAGGCUUCUCUGAAAUCUUAGCUGAUGAUGAAAGCCCCAUUGCAUGUGCUAAAGUGAGCCAUUUAGUGUUGCAGUUUAGCUCUGAUCUCUUGACCGGCUAAUCUGUGUCAAAGCAAUGGCCACAUCU